AAGGGCUUGGAAACAUGCACCUUAAAGUGGCUGCCAACAUUGUCACCAUCCUUGACAAAACGGAUUCCCCUGCUUCAGGUAGAUAAGAAGACUGAAAGAAGCAGUGUUGAACUGUGGUUCCCAAUGAGAACUUCUGCUCACAUUAAGAAUGUUUUAUCCCAGAGAAUGGGGCUCCUCACAAGGGCAGACUGGGCAGGAGAAGACGAGGACUCCACGAGGGGCCUGGCGGAUGUCUCCUUCGCCGGAGCUUGGAACAGACGCACAGCUCAGAACAGACUCACAGUGGCAAAGUGAUUUCAAUGGUUGAUGUGGGGCACCCUCCUCUGGGGCCUCAUAACCCAAUUCAGACUACUCUCCCCCCGU
rnacentral:sRNA from 1 species